UACACUCCUACGGGAGGCAGCAGUGGGGAAUAUUGGACAAUGGGCGCAAGCCUGAUCCAGCCAUGCCGCGUGAGUGAUGAAGGCCCUAGGGUUGUAAAGCUCUUUCACCGGUGAAGAUAAUGACGGUAACCGGAGAAGAAGCCCCGGCUAACUUCGUGCCAGCAGCCGCGGUAAUACGAAGGGGGCUAGCGUUGUUCGGAUUUACUGGGCGUAAAGCGCACGUAGGCGGACUAUUAAGUCAGGGGUGAAAUCCCGGGGCUCAACCCCGGAACUGCCUUUGAUACUGGUAGUCUUGAGUUCGAGAGAGGUGAGUGGAAUUCCGAGUGUAGAGGUGAAAUUCGUAGAUAUUCGGAGGAACACCAGUGGCGAAGGCGGCUCACUGGCUCGAUACUGACGCUGAGGUGCGAAAGCGUGGGGAGCAAACAGGAUUAGAAACCCCUGUAGUCCCA
rnacentral:rRNA from 1 species